GGUGAUCAUGUCUUUAAGGUACAGUGAUCAUGUCUUUAAGGUACGGUGAUCAUGUCUUUAAGGUACGGUGAUCAUGUCUUUAAGGUACGGUGAUCAUGUCUUUAAGGUACGGUGAUCAUGUCUUUAAGGUAUGGUGAUCAUGUCUUUAAGGUACGGUGAUCAUGUCUUUAAGGUACGGUGAUCAUGUCUUUAAGGUACGGUGAUCAUGUCUUUAAGGUACGGUGAUCAUGUCUUUAAGGUACGGUGAUCAUGUCUUUAAGGUACGGUGAUCAUGUCUUUAAGGUACGGUGAUCAUGUCUUUAAGGUACGGUGAUCAUGUCUUUAAGGUACGGUGAUCAUGUCUUUAUCAGGUACGGUGAUCAUGUCUUUAAGGUACGGUGAUCAU
ensembl:lncRNA